GGGAAUCCCGCGGCAUUCUGAUCCGCGAUUCCUAGCGAUUCCACUUCAUGAGUCGAGUUGCAGACUGCAAUCCGGACUACGACCGGUUUAAGGGAUUAGCUUACUCUCGCGAGUUUGCGGCCCUCUGUACCGGCCAUUGUAGCACGUGUGUAGCCCUCCUAAGGGCCAUGAUGACUUGACGUCGUCCCCACCUUCCUCCGGUUUUCACCGGCAGUCUCCUAGAGUGCCCAACUAUGGGACUAAAG
rnacentral:rRNA from 1 species